AACAUCCACCACUAGUGCAAUAGAAACAUCUACAACAACAGAGACUUCCACAAUCACAACUCCUGAUGAAACAUCCACCACUAGUGCACCAGAAACAUCUACAAGAACAGAGACUUCCACAAUCAUGACUCCUGCUGAAGCAUCCACCACUAGUUUAGCAGAAACAUCUACAAAAACACAGACUUUCACAAUCACGACACCUGAUGAAACAUCCACCACUAGUUUAGCAGAAACAUCUACAACAACAGAGACUUCCACAAUCACCACUCCUGAUGAAACAUCCACCACUAGUUUAUCAGAAACAUCUACAUCAACAGAGACUUACACAAUCAUGACUACUGAUGAAGCAUCCACCACUAGUGCACCAGAAACAUCAACAACAACAGAGACUUCCACAAUCAUGACUCCUGAUGAAACAUCCACCACUAGUUUAGCAGAAACAUCUACAAAAACACAGACUUUCACAAUCACGACACCUGAUGAAACAUCCACCACUAGUUUAGCAGAAACAUCUACAACAACAGAGACUUCCACAAUCACCACUCCUGAUGAAACAUCCACCACUAGUUUAUCAGAAACAUCUGCAACAUCAGAGACUUCCAUAAUCAUGACUCCUGAUGAAACAUCAACCACUAGUGCACCAGAAACAUCUACAACAACAGAGACUUCCACAAAGACGACUCCUGAUGAAACAUCCACCACAAUUGCAAUAGAAAUUUCUACAACAUCGGAGACUUCCACAAUCACGACUCCCGCUGAAACAUCCAUUACUAGUACACCGGAAACAUCUACAACAACAGAGACUUCCACAAUCACAACUCCUGAUGAAACAUCUAACACAAGUUUAGCAGAAACACCUACAACAACAGAGACUUCCACAAUCAUGACUACUGAUGAAGCAUCCACCACUAGUGCACCAGAAACAUCUACAAUGUCAGAGACUUCCACAAUCACGACACCUCAUGAAACAUCCACUACUAGUUUAGCAGAACCAUCUAUAACAACAGAGACUUCCAAAAUCACAACUCCUCAUGAAACAACCACCACUAGUGCACCAGAAACAUCUACAACAACAGAGACUUCCACAAUCAUGACUCCUGCUGAAACAUCAAUUACUAGUACACCAGAAACAUCUACAAAAAAACAGACUUUCACAAUCACAACACCUGAUGAAAUAUCCACCACUAGUUUAGCAGAAACAUCUACAACAACAGAGACUUCCACAACCAUGACUCCUGCUGAAACAUCCACCACUAGUGUAGCAGAAACAUCUAAAUCAACAGAGACUUCCACAAUCAUGACUACUGAUGCAGCAUCCACCACUAGUGCACCAGAAACAUCUACAAUGUCAGAGACUUCCACAAUCACGACACCUCAUGAAACAUUCAGCACUAGUGCACCAGAAACAUCUACAACAACAGAGACUUCAACAAAGACGACUCCUGAUGAAACAUUUACAACAAAAGAGACUUCCACAAUCAUGACUCCUGCUGAAGCAUCAACCACUAUUGCAGCAGAACCAUCAACAACAAAAGAGACUUCCACAAUCAUGACUCCAGAUAAAACAUCCACCACUAUUGGACCAGAAACAUCUAGAACAACAGAGACUUCCACAAUCACGACUCCUGCUGAAACAUCUACCACAAGUUUAGCAGAAACACCUACAACAACAGAGACUUCCACAAUCACAACUCCUGAUGAAACAUCCACCACUAGUGCAGCAGAAACAUUAACAACAACAGAGACUUCCACAAUCAUGACUCCAGAUAAAACAUCCACCACUAAUGCAAUAGAAAC
ensembl:lncRNA